UCCUGACUGACCGAUAGUGAACCAGUACCGUGAGGGAAAGGCGAAAAGAACCCCGGCGAGGGGAGUGAAAAAGAACCUGAAACCGUGUACGUACAAGCAGUGGGAGCACGCUUAGGCGUGUGACUGCGUACCUUUUGUAUAAUGGGUCAGCGACUUAUAUUCUGUAGCAAGGUUAACCGAAUAGGGGAGCCGAAGGGAAACCGAGUCUUAACUGGGCGUUAAGUUGCAGGGUAUAGACCCGAAACCCGGUGAUCUAGCCAUGGGCAGGUUGAAGGUUGGGUAACACUAACUGGAGGACCGAACCGACUAAUGUUGAAAAAUUAGCGGAUGACUUGUGGCUGGGGGUGAAAGGC
rnacentral:rRNA from 1 species